rnacentral:lncRNA from 1 species
GCAGCUGGUACCUGGGAUCGGGCAGGACGGUCCUCUUGCUGGCGCGGGCGGCCGGAGUCGCCUUGCUCUUCUCCAUGGCCAUCAGGUAAUGAUGAAGCCCCUGCUCUGGUCCAAGCUACCUGUGAACAGCGCCCAGCGGGCCGGGCCCCCAACCUCGCUCCUGAACGUACCCGCAAGCCCGCCGUGAGAAUUCAGCGAAGAGUAAAGGCUGGAGAAAGUUGCGUGUCUCAGGCUAAGCAGAGCAAAGUGGGGUGAGGGCUUCGCCGCUAGGAACAGAGAUGCCCUUAGGGAGCCCCCUGAUGGAAGAGCUCUCUGCUUAAGAAGGUCAGCACGCCCUUACACUCAGGAAAAGUGGAAAUGAGGCCUUUUACCCCAGGGUUGUUGAGAAGACAGGGGAGAAAAAGCACAUAAAAAUGCACCUUGUCGGGCGCAGUGGCUCACACCUGUAAUCCUGCACUUUGGGAGUCUGAGGCAGGUGGAUCGCUUGAGGCCAGGAGUUCAAGACCAGCCUGGCCAACAUGAAAAAUACAUUAAAAAUAAUGUCUCUAUUAAAAAUACAAAAAUUAGCCAGGCAUGGUGGUGCACGCCUGUAACCCAGCUACUCAGGAGGCUGAGGCACAAGAAUCGCUUGAACCCAGGAAGUAGAAGCUACAGUGAGUCGAGAUUGCACCACUGCACGCCAGCCUGGGUGAAAGAGUGAGACCCUGUCUGAAAAAAAAAAAAAAAAAAAAGCAUUUUGCCUGGCACCCAGUAGAUCCUCAAUAAAGGUCAUGUCACUUC